UUAACGCUGAGGUGUGAUGACGAGGCACUACGGUGCUGAAGUGAUAAAUGCCCUGCUUCCAGGAAAAGCCUCUAAGCAUCAGGUAACACGAAAUCGUACCCCAAACCGACACAGGUGGUCAGGUAGAGAAUACCAAGGCGCUUGAGAGAACUCGGGUGAAGGAACUAGGCAAAAUGGUGCCGUAACUUCGGGAGAAGGCACGCUGAUAUGUAGGUGAAGUCCCUGCGGACGGAGCUGAAAUCAGUCGAAGAUACCAGCUGGCUGCAACUGUUUAUUAAAAACACAGCACUGUGCAAACACGAAAGUGGACGUAUACGGUGUGACGCCUGCCCGGUGCCGGAAGGUUAAUUGAUGGGGUUAGCGGCAACGCGAAGCUCUUGAUCGAAGCCCCGGUAAACGGCGGCCGUAACUAUAACGGUCCUAAGGUAGCGAAAUUCCUUGUCGGGUAAGUUCCGACCUGCACGAAUGGCGUAAUGAUGGCCAGGCUGUCUCCACCCGAGACUCAGUGAAAUUGAACUCGCUGUGAAGAUGCAGUGUACCCGCGGCAAGACGGAAAGACCCCGUGAACCUUUACUAUAGCUUGACACUGAACACUGGUCCUUGAUGUGUAGGAUAGGUGGGAGGCUUUGAAGCGUGGACGCCAGUCUGCGUGGAGCCAUCCUUGAAAUACCACCCUUUAAUGGCUGGUGUUCUAACGUAGACCCGUUAUCCGGGUUGCGGACAGUGUCUGGUGGGUAGUUUGACUGGGGCGGUCUCCUCCCAAAGAGUAACGGAGGAGCACGAAGGUUGGCUAAUCCUGGUCGGACAUCAGGAGGUUAGUGCAAUGGCAUAAGCCAGCUUGACUGCGAGCGUGACGGCGCGAGCAGGUGCGAAAGCAGGUCAUAGUGAUCCGGUGGUUCUGAAUGGAAGGGCCAUCGCUCAACGGAUAAAAGGUACUCCGGGGAUAACAGGCUGAUACCGCCCAAGAGUUCAUAUCGACGGCGGUGUUUGGCACCUCGAUGUCGGCUCAUCACAUCCUGGGGCUGAAGUAGGUCCCAAGGGUAUGGCUGUUCGCCAUUUAAAGUGGUACGCGAGCUGGGUUUAGAACGUCGUGAGACAGUUCGGUCCCUAUCUGCCGUGGGCGCUGGAGAAUUGAGGGGGGCUGCUCCUAGUACGAGAGGACCGGAGUGGACGCAUCACUGGUGUUCGGGUUGUCAUGCCAAUGGCACUGCCCGGUAGCUAAAUGCGGAAGAGAUAAGUGCUGAAAGCAUCUAAGCACGAAACUUGCCCCGAGAUGAGUUCUCCCUGAGACUUUAAGUCUCCUGAAGGAACGUUGAAGACGACGACGUUGAUAGGUCGGGUGUGUAAGCGCAGCGAUGCGUUGAGCUAACCGAUACUAAUGAACCGUGAGGCUUAACCUU
rnacentral:rRNA from 1 species